UGAAUACGAGAUGCUACGGCGUCGAAGCAGUCUAUGUCAUACUUCCAAGAAAAGCUCGCACUGUCAUAAACAAAUAAUGCCUGUACCAUAACCGACACAGGUGGGUAGGUAGAGUAUACUAAGGGGCGCGAGAUAACUCUCUCUAAGGAACUCGGCAAAAUGACUCCGUAACUUCGGGAGAAGGAGUGCCUUAUUUAUAAGGUUGCAAUAACAAGAUCCAAGCAACUGUUUAUCAAAAACACAGGUCUCCGCUAAGUCGUAAGACGAUGUAUGGGGGCUGACGCCUGCCCAGUGCCAGAAGGUUAAAGAAGUUGGUUAGCAUUCGCGAAGCUGAUAACUGAAGCCCUGGUGAACGGCGGCCGUAACGAUAACGGUCCUAAGGUAGCGAAAUUCCUUGUCGGGUAAGUUCCGACCCGCACGAAAGGCGUAAUGAUUUGGAUACUGUCUCGGAGAGGGGCUCGGUGAAAUAGACUUGUCUGUGAAGAUGCGGACUACCUGCACCAGGACAGAAAGACCCUAUGAAGCUUUACUGUAACUUGAGAUUGAAAUUGGACUUUACUUGCGCAGUAUAGGUGGGAGGCGUUGAUAAUAUUCUUGCGGGAUUAUUUGAGCCAUCAGUGAGAUACCACUCUUGUAAUGUUAGAUUUCUAACUUUGUAUCAUUAUCUGGUCAAAGGACAGUUUCAGGCGGGCAGUUUGACUGGGGCGGUCGCCUCCUAAACGGUAACGGAGGCGCACAAAGGUUUCCUCUGAACGGGUAGAAAUCGUAUCUAGAGUGUAAAGGCAUAAGGAAGCUUGACUGUGAGACCUACAAGUCGAGCAGGGACGAAAGUCGGUCUUAGUGAUCUGACGGUGCUGAGUGGAAAGGCCGUCACUCAACGGAUAAAAGUUACUCUAGGAUAACAGGCUGAUCUCCCCCAAGAGUUCACAUCGACGGGGAGGUUUGGCACCUCGAUGUCGGCUCAUCGCAUCCUGGGGCGGUAGUACGUCCCAAGGGUUGGGCUGUUCGCCCAUGAAAGCGGUACGCGAGCUGGGUUCAGAACGUCGUGAGACAGUUCGGUCCAUAUCCGGUGUAGGCGUUAGAGUAUUGAGAGGAGCCUUCUUUAGUACGAGAGGACCGAGAAGGACAUACCUCUGGUGUACCAGUUAUCGUGCCAACGGUAAACGCUGGGUAGCUAUGUAUGGAGUGGAUAACCGCUGAAAGCAUCUAAGUGGGAAGCCCACCUCAAGAUAAGUAUUCU
rnacentral:rRNA from 1 species